GGUGCCCCCGAGUGGGUGUGGUCACGUUGCCCAGCAGUGGGCGGUGAUUGGCCCUGGGCGGUGCGAUCUCAGCUUGUGCGUCACGACGUCGCCAGCUGAUCGGAGACUGGAGCCGGUGUGUGCUGGGCGCUGGAAAGAGACAGCUACGCCGGCCGUGAGGAGCGGACGCAGAGAUUUGCUCCUCUACCUCAGCAGCCCCCACACCCAGCACCAGGAGUCUGUGCCUCCCGUGUCCUCACCUGGCUGAGCCGCAGUAGUUCUUCAGUGGCAAGCUUUAUGUCCUGACCCAGCUAAAGCUGCCAGUUGAAGAACUGUUGCCCUCUGCCCCUGGCUUCAAGGAGGAAGAGCAGGAAGAAGAGCUGGUUUCUCUAUCAUCUGGAAGUGUGUGUCUUCAGCCCUGAGUAUGUGGCUCUGCCAUCUUCACCCUUCAUGGAGCAGAGAUGAGGAAGGCAGCCUGGCAGCACAGAGGCAGGCAGAAGACUAGUAAAAGACCAGGCCUGGAAAGCACAGAGCCCUCUCUGGGUAUGCAGCAGAGGGGUCCAUAAUGGCCGGGAGCACCCCAGGAAGAGGGAGAACGGCCAGCCCCCACCAAGGACAAGUUUCCAGUGAUCUGCUGCUUCACGCACCAUUUAUCUCCAGUCCUUCCUCCCUUGGGGAUGUGAGAUCGGAGUGAAGGUCCAACAGCUUUCACCCUCCUUCUUCCACCUCUUCCCUACCUACUCUGUAAUUUUUAUACGAAUAACUUCAGAGAGCAUGUGCCAGAUGUGACAGGACAUGCACAGGAAAUUCAUUUAAAAAUUUCAAAUGGAUAAAACUGUUAAACCAUAUUCUUGGGGCCGGGGAGAUGGCUCAGUGGAAUAAGCGCUUCCCUGGCAAGCACAAGCGCCUGAGUUCAAUACCUGGUUCUGCCAAAAAACAGAACAAAACAAAACAUAUUCUUCAUUAGUAAAUUAAAAGAAGGCAAAUAUCACUGUCUCCUUUAGCCACCUAGAAUAGAAAUAAGACCCAAUGCUGACAAAAGAGCAGUGCCAUACAGUGCAUAUGGAAAUAUAAAUUGGUAUGCCCUUCCUGGAUGGAAGUUCAGUAAUGGGUAUUAAACACCCUAGAGGUUCCAUAUCCUUUGACCUAGUAAUUCUGUGUUUGGGAAUUUAUCCUAAAAAAAAA